CAUCAAAUGCCUUACUAAAUUCAGCACCAUUCACCCAUAUGAUAAAGGAAAUUUACCUCAACCUAAGGAGUAAGCCUGUUGGUUGCUGUGAUUUCCAUUUUUACGGUUUUUUAUCAUGAAAACUUCAGUGUGCUUGUUAGUUUAGAGCACAUAAUAGAUCCUUAAGCCAAUGCUGACCUUUGUCCAUAAAGGAAGAGGGACAUCCAGCAACGUUCUGCUUAUAUCUUCCCGACGUACGCUCAUCUAGCUUCACUGCUUUUGCUGCUACAACUUGUCUUACUUCACC